UGCAAUCUAUGAUGCAAAUAUUUAACGUUAAUGAUAUUCUGUGAUUAGUAAGUUAAAAUCACCAUCUUUCGACUGAGAUUGCU